rnacentral:precursor_RNA from 15 species
CUAGUAGGGAAUUCGUAGUCCUAUGGGUUUUGCACACCGGCGAUCUUAACGUAUUUUCUAAUAUAUAUCGUUAAAAUCGUCGACGUACACAAUUCUAGGGCUAAUUUAACAACAACGUUUA